UCGUUGAUGAUCGGUGCUUGCACCGAGAUUCAACAUACCCCGAGUGGCGGACGGGUGAGUAACACGUGGGUAACCUGCCCUUCAAGUGGGGGAUAACAUUUGGAAACAGAUGCUAAUACCGCAUAGAUCCAAGAACCGCAUGGUUCUUGGCUGAAAGAUGGCGUAAGCUAUCGCUUUUGGAUGGACCCGCGGCGUAUUAGCUAGUUGGUGAGGUAAUGGCUCACCAAGGCGAUGAUACGUAGCCGAACUGAGAGGUUGAUCGGCCACAUUGGGACUGAGACACGGCCCAAACUCCUACGGGAGGCAGCAGUAGGGAAUCUUCCACAAUGGACGCAAGUCUGAUGGAGCAACGCCGCGUGAGUGAAGAAGGCUUUCGGGUCGUAAAACUCUGUUGUUGGAGAAGAAUGGUCGGCAGAGUAACUGUUGUCGGCGUGACGGUAUCCAACCAGAAAGCCACGGCUAACUACGUGCCAGCAGCCGCGGUAAUACGUAGGUGGCAAGCGUUAUCCGGAUUUAUUGGGCGUAAAGCGAGCGCAGGCGGUUUUUUAAGUCUGAUGUGAAAGCCCUCGGCUUAACCGAGGAAGCGCAUCGGAAACUGGGAAACUUGAGUGCAGAAGAGGACAGUGGAACUCCAUGUGUAGCGGUGAAAUGCGUAGAUAUAUGGAAGAACACCAGUGGCGAAGGCGGCUGUCUGGUCUGUAACUGACGCUGAGGCUCGAAAGCAUGGGUAGCGAACAGGAUUAGAUACCCUGGUAGUCCAUGCCGUAAACG
rnacentral:rRNA from 1 species